rnacentral:piRNA from 1 species
UAGAGCGUAAGUAUGGAUGUUGUGGC